rnacentral:rRNA from 1 species
UUCAACCUACGGGACGCAGCAGUGAGGGAUAUUGGUCAAUGGGGGAAACCCUGAACCAGCAACGCCGCGUGAGGGAAGACGGUUUUCGGAUUGUAAACCUCUGUCCUCUGUGAAGAUAAUGACGGUAGCAGAGGAGGAAGCUCCGGCUAACUACGUGCCAGCAGCCGCGGUAAUACGUAGGGAGCAAGCGUUGUCCGGAUUUACUGGGUGUAAAGGGUGCGUAGGCGGCCUUGCAAGUCAGAAGUGAAAUCCAUGGGCUUAACCCGUGAACUGCUUUUGAAACUGUAGGGCUUGAGUGAAGUAGG